rnacentral:rRNA from 1 species
ACGGUCCAGACUCCUACGGGAGGCAGCAGUGGGGAAUAUUGCACAAUGGGGGAAACCCUGAUGCAGCAACGCCGCGUGAGUGAUGACGGCCUUCGGGUUGUAAAACUCUGUCUUUGGGGACGAUAAUGACGGUACCCAAGGAGGAAGCCACGGCUAACUACGUGCCAGCAGCCGCGGUAA